rnacentral:rRNA from 1 species
GAAUAUUAGUCAAUGAUUGAAAGAUUGAUCUAGUUACUUAGAAAGAUGAAGAUUAUAAUAAAAAUAAUAAAUAAAUAAAAAAAUAAUAAUGAAGAAUAUAAAAUCAAUGUAUAUAUAAAAGAAUAAUGAUGAUUAUAUAUAUAGAAGUCUUAACCAAAAUUAGUGCCAGCAGUUGCGGCUAAACUAAGGAGGCUAACGUUAAUCAUUAAUGGCUUAAAGGAUCCGUAGAAUGAUAUGUAAAAAUACAUAUUAGAGUUAAAUUGAAUAAUUAUGAAAAAUUAUAUUGAGAGAUGAAAUGUGUGGAAAAUAAUUAGACAAAUAAACGUGAAGAUAAAAUUAAAAAUUUAACUGACAUUGAUGGAUGAAGGCAUGAUUAGCAAAACGGAUUAGAUACCCGAGUAGUUCAUGCAGUAAACGAUGAAUACUAUAAAAUAAAAAAAUAAGCGAAAGCUUAAGUAUUCCGCCAGGAGAGUAUAGCUUCAAAGUUGAAAUCCAAGACAAUAGACGGUUACAGUUGUAGGCAGUGGAUUGUGUUAUUUAAU